rnacentral:rRNA from 1 species
GACGAACCGUGCGAACGUUGUUCGGAAUCACUGGGCUUAAAGGGCGCGUAGGCGGGCAGGCAAGUCUGGGGUGAAAUCUUUCGGCUUAACCGGAAAAGUGCCCUGGAUACUGCUUGUCUCGAGGGAGGUAGGGGCAGAUGGAACUUCCGGUGGAGCGGUGAAAUGCGUUGAUAUCGGGAGGAACACCUGUGGCGAAAGCGGCGCACUGGACCACAACUGACGCUGAGGCGCGAAAGCUAGGGGAGCAAACAGGG